rnacentral:lncRNA from 1 species
CUAGGCAGGCGUGGGACCUGUCGGGGGCUUCACGGCAGCGCGGAAGGCCAGCCUGCAGAGAGGCUGGGCCCAGCGCCCUGACUGACCCAGCCCCGCCACGUCCAAGGUUCCCGCCCUCUGGAGGAAGCCGCGCAAUCACUCCGGGGGCGGGGAGAGACAGACAACUGAGAGGAAGGAGGUACCACGGGCACUCUCUCGCGAGAGGGCCGCAGAGCCGCCUUUGACGGGGGCGUGUACCUGGAGAGCAACGCUCUUGACAAAAUUCUCAGGGAAAACUCUUCAGCUCUGGAUGUCUCCCUUUUUGUGGAUCAAACACAAAGGGCAUCAUUCUAAAAUAUAUACAGAACCAUAAAAGCCCCAAAUAGCCAAAGCAACCCUGAGCAAAAAGAACAAGGCUGGAAGCAUCACACUACCAGACUUCAAAAUUUACUACAAAGCUCUAAUACCUAAAAUAACAUGGUACUGGCAUUAAAAAAAAAAAAAAAAUAGGCACAUAGACCACCAAUGAAACAGUAUAGAGAAUCUAGAUAUACCAACUCAUCUUUAACAAAGGUGC